UUGUCUCUCAAAAAUGAGCUUUGGAUGCACCCAGUGUUAAAAUAAUCCCUAAAUAAAUUCAUUCCAUGUUAUCAACUCUAGCAUUUUGUUUACUAGGACCUGAUGACAUGGUACCAUUCUUUAGCUGAGAACUUUUCUAUUCUAGAAGAUUUAGGUUCCAGUACAAAAAUAUCUAUUCUUAAAGAUUCAUUGUACUAUUUUCAUUCUUUUCAAGUUGAUUCCAUUGAAGGCUGCAGACAUAGGAUCUAUUACAUAUUGAAGCUGAGGAUUGAAAAAUGAAGUUCGUUGGAUUCUGAUUUCUUACAACUCUAAAAUACCAGAGAAUGAAUUCAAUACCUAUUCUAUCUAAGCAUUCUGGCAAAGCUCUAGAAACCUCUAAGAAUAAUUGGGUCAUGGGCCACUACCCAAGGGUACAGAAAUCUUUCAUCAUAUUGAGGUUUGCCACCAGAGCAAAGAAAGCAGCAGCAUUGUGUUCACCUACUUGGAAGAGGGGAAGUAAAAUUUCCUCAGAUUUGGAGAACAACAAAAAGUUGAGAUACUGUUAAUUUGGAAGACAAUUACAGAAGUCUAAAGGCCAUCUUCAAUUGUUCUUCUAUUUAUCAUAGUUUAAAAAAAUAUGGAAACUAUCACCUAACAACCUGGUCAUUCAUAUCUAUGUGUUUAUAGAGGUAAGCAGGCACAAUCUGUCACCAUGAUUUAAUUUUUUCUGCCUUGGUAGAACCUGUCAGAGCAUGGGAAUUCAUUGGCAUAGCCUUUGAGAGAUGAGGUUCAUCUUUAUGCUAGAAUCAGUUUUGCUCUCUGUUAAUAUAUGUGGAAAAUACUAGCCCCUAAUGUUAUAUUUUCAGUCUCUAAAUGGGCUAUCAAGUCUUUGGGAAUCUAACAAAGGGUGAAGAGAAAGACUCAUCCUUGCACAGACAUUGGAAAACAUAAUAAAGAGUUAGCCCGAACUCU
rnacentral:lncRNA from 1 species